UACACCUGUAACCAUGCCGAACACAGAAGUUAAGCUUCUUAGCGCCGAUUGUAGUGAGGGGUUGCCCCUUGUGAGAGUAGGACGUCGCCACGC
rnacentral:rRNA from 1 species